GACGAACGCUGGCGGCGUGCCUAAUACAUGCAAGUCGAACGCAGUGGGGACGGGUGAGUAACACGUGGGUAACCUCCCAUCAGAGGGGAUAACACUUGGAAACAGGUGCUAAACCGAUACUGAUGGAUGGACCCGCGGGGCAUUAGCUAGUUGGUGAGGUAACGGCUCACCAAGGCCACGAUGCAUAGCCGACCGGGGAGGGGUAUCGGCCACACUGGGACUGAGACAUGGCCCAGACUCCGACGGGAGGCAGCAGUAGGGAAUCUUCGGCAAUGGACGAAAGCCUGAGCGAGCAACGCCGCGUGAGUGAGGAAGGUUUUCGGAUCGUAAAACUCUGUUGUUAGAUAAGCGGUAUCUAACCAGAAAGCCACGGCUAACUACGUGCCAGCAGCCGCGGUAAUUC
rnacentral:rRNA from 1 species